GUGAUUUGCUCAAGAUCACCAGCUAAACUGCUCCCAUCACUGCCCAGAUCAAGCUAAAGCAGAAAUCCGGAGGCAACAGACAGCAGUGAUAUGGGCAGUGAUUUGCCCAAGAAACUCGAAGAUCACUGGCCAAAUCACUCGCAGAGACAUAGAGGGCUGACUCACAGAGAAGCGAUCUGGUCAGUGAUUUGCCCAAUCACUUGAAGAAACUGGUCAAAUCACCGGGCAAAUCACUUUGACAGCAGAAAAUACAGCAGAGCGGGAAAUUAUUCAGAAAACCGAAUUUCAAGUUUUCAGAAGUCCAAAUCCAACUCAAUCACUACCAAAACAAUUCCAAGAGCCACGAAAGAGUUUCUCACCUAAGGAAU
rnacentral:lncRNA from 1 species